AUGACGCGGACAAUGCCUUCGUCGGCCAGCGCUUGCCGCGCCUCGGGCGCCGCGGAGAGGUUCUUGAGCGCGCCGGCCGCCGCGGACUGGGACACGGAGUCCCCCGUCUGGCAGAUCUCGAGGAGCGGGCGCACGCCGCCGUGGCCGGCGAUGGCGCGCGCGACGUCGGGGGACGCGGAGAGGCGCUGCAGCGUGAGCACGGCCUUCUCGCGGCCGACGAGGCUGCUGCCGGACUCGGCCAGCCGGAUGAGCGGCGGCAGCGCGCCCUCCGACACGAGCAGCCCCUCGCAGGCGCCACCUCCCGACUCCGCGAGCCGGCAUAUCACCAUGGCGGCCUUCUCCCGCGCCUUGGGCGCCGGCGCCGUGAGCAGCUGCACCAGCGCGGACAAGUUGGCGCGGCCGAGCACCGACACCACGCUCUUCUCGUCCCGGUUGAGCGCGUCGAGGAGCCCGUCCACCGCCCGGGUCUUGGCCUCGGCGUGCCCGAUCUGCAGCCGCGCGAGCAGCUCCCGCACGUCCGCCUGCGCCGUCGCCGGGGCGGCGACGGCGGACGCGUCGGAGUCGGAGAGCACGCCGGUCCGGACGAGCAGCGCGCAGUCGCGGAGGUUGACGUCGAGCCGGGCGCCGAGCGCGUCGAUGGCGCUCUGCGUCUGCAGCUUCCCGUCCCUGGGCGGGCCGCGGCACCGCGCGGCGAGCUCGGCCGCGUCGGCGAGCGUGGCGGCCACGGAGUGCAGCAGCUCGCGGCAGAGCGCGUUCCGGGCGAAGCAGGGGUGGCUGGACAGGUCGGACAGGCGCGCGGGGAACGCGCCCAGCUUGGCCGCGAUCGCCUUCCACCGGCCGGGGAACCCCUCCGCGGCCGUCGCCGCGCCGACCGCCGCCGGCACCAUGCCCCUCACGCGCGCCAGCAGCUCCUCCGCCGUCUCAUCCCCGGGAGCAGCCGCCGCCGGGUCGCCCCGCACACUCAUGGCCGGUCACUGGCUAGCUGAGCUGACCUGA
rnacentral:rRNA from 1 species